AUUGAACGCUGGCGGCAUGCUUUACACAUGCAAGUCGAACGGUAACAGGGUGCUUGCACCGCUGACGAGUGGCGAACGGGUGAGUAAUGCGUCGGAACGUGCCGAGUAGUGGGGGAUAACGCAGCGAAAGUUGUGCUAAUACCGCAUACGUACUGAGGUAGAAAGUGGGGGACCUUCGGGCCUCACGCUAUUCGAGCGGCCGACGUCUGAUUAGCUAGUAGGUGAGGUAAAGGCUCACCUAGGCGACGAUCAGUAGCGGGUCUGAGAGGAUGAUCCGCCACACUGGGACUGAGAGACGGCCCAGGCUCCUACGGGAGGCAGCAGUGGGGAAUUUUGGACAAUGGGCGAAAGCCUGAUCCAGCUAUGCCGCGUGUCUGAAGAAGGCCUUCGGGUUGUAAAGGACUUUUGUCAGGGAGGAAAUCCCUAGUGCUAAUAACACUGGGGGAUGACAGUACCUGAAGAAUAAGCACCGGCUAACUACGUGCCAGCCGCCGCGGUAAGAC
rnacentral:rRNA from 1 species